GACGAACGCUGGCGGCGUGCUUAACACAUGCAAGUCGAACGGUGAACUCGCUUCGGUGGGGGAUCAGUGGCGAACGGGUGAGUAACACGUGGGCAACCUGCCCCCUGGCUCUGGGAUAACUCCAAGAAAUUGGGGCUAAUACCGGAUAUGACCGCUGACCGCAUGGUCCGGUGGUGGAAAGAUUUAUCGGCUGGGGAUGGGCCCGCGGCCUAUCAGCUUGUUGGUGGGGUAGUGGCCUACCAAGGCGACGACGGUAGCCGGCCUGAGAGGGUGACCGGCCACACUGGGACUGAGACACGGCCCAGACUCCUACGGGAGGCAGGCAGUGGGGAAUAUUGCGCAAUGGGCGAAAGCCUGACGCAGCGACGCCGCGUGGGGAUGACGGCCUCGGUGUAA
rnacentral:rRNA from 1 species